rnacentral:rRNA from 1 species
UACGUAGGGGGCAAGCGUUGUUCGGAAUUACUGGGCGUAAAGCGCACGUAGGCGGCUUUGUAAGUUAGAGGUGAAAGCCCGGGGCUCAACUCCGGAAUUGCCUUUAAGACUGCAUCGCUAGAAUUGUGGAGAGGUAAGCGGAAUUCCGAGUGUAGAGGUGAAAUUCGUAGAUAUUCGGAAGAACACCAGUGGCGAAGGCGACUUACUGGACACAUAUUGACGCUGAGGUGCGAAAGCGUGGGGAGCAAACAGG